UCCUCCAGCUCCCGCGCCUCCGCCGCGCCGCUCAUGGCCGGGGCCGGGCACGCCGGGCAGGGCCCCCCUCGGCCCCUCCCCGCCGCUCCGGAGCCCGUCGGGAGGGGCCGGGCGGUUCCUCAGCGCCGCUGCCCCGCCGGGCCCGGCCCGCCCCGGGCCCCCGCUCCGGCCCUCGCGGCCGCCGCCAUCUUGUGCCCGGGGCGGGCGGGGAGCGCCGGGGCUGCCCCGGCCGGGAGGGGAACGGCCCGUAUGUGGAAUAUUGUGUCCCGUUCUGGGCUCCUCCGCACAGAAAAAGGCAACGGGCUACUGCAGAGGGUCCAGCGGAGGCCGCAAAGAUGGCGAGGGGUCUGGAGCAUCUCUGACGAGGAGAGACUGUGGGAGCUGGGCCUGGUUAGUCUGGAGAAAACAGAGAGGAUCUCAUGAAUGCAGAUAAAUAUCUCCAAGGCAGGUGUCAGAGGAUGGUGCCAGGCUCUUUUCAGUGGUGCCCAGCAACAGGACGAGAAGCAACGGCCAUAAACUAAAAUGCAAGAAGUUCCACCGUCAGCAUGAAGACAAACUUCUUUCCAUGGAAGGUGGCAAAGCCCUGGAACAGCUGCCCAGGGAGGGUGUGGAGCCUCCUCCUCUGGAGACAUUCUAAACCCCACCUGGAUAUGUUCCUGUGUCACCUGCUCCAGGUGACCCUGCCUUGGCAGGGGGUUGGACUGGAUGAUCUCUAGUGUUUCCUUCCAACUCGAAUGAUUCUGUGAUUCUAUGUGACCCCUCUGGGUGCUGGGGUGGGAUCCUGGACAGGGUGAAAAGCCCAAAACUGGAGCAUUUCCUCUGACAGGCUCAUCCCACCCUCGCUCACCACCCUGAGACCUGUGUGGAGGCUUGAGGGGAGAAAGUCAUGGGGAGAGGGAGAAAGCUGCCCGGCAAAGGCACAUCACAGAGUCGUUCAGGCUGGAAAAGACCUCUAAGAUCAUCGAGUGCAACCAUUCAUCCAUCACACUGGCCUUGCCCUUUUCAGGGUGUUUUUGACUGGCAGCCUGCCUCCUGCCUGUGAGCUGUGAGGCUGCCAUGGGCUGGGGCAGGAAGGUACCACAAGGAUGGGUUCAAAUCCGUGGGCCAGGAGUGAAAUCCACCAGGGUUUUUCCCCCCAGACAUUUCCAGCCCUGGCACCUCCAAUUCCCAGUCAUCUUCUCACCAGCAUGUUGCUCACACUCUUAAUUAAAUCACUGCAACCUGUAUUGGGGAGCUAAUUUAUCUCCAUGCUUUCUGUUUUGGCAUCAGUGUCUGCCACCAAGGAGAAAUUUGCACUAAGCUAUUUGGUCUUUUUAUUUCAUUGCUUCUCUUUUAUUGCUUAAUUUUUUUAUUAGUGACAUUAUUUUUAGCCUACCGUUUAAUUUUGGACUUGGGUUGCUGUUCCUUUGGUCUGCUGUUCCUGCUCUGGCAGUUGUGGCAAUUAGGUUGUGGUGAUGCCUGCAGCAUUACCUUCCAAACAGUUCCCAAAUAUCUAUCCAUAUAAAUGAAGCUUCAAAACACAAACAAUCAUCUUCCUUUUAAUCAGUCAGGAGAGACAGAGGCCCACAGGCCAGACAUUUCUGUUUCUCCAAGAGAGAAGCAUCCCUGCAAAGUGCCCUUGUGAAGGCAGGAGGGGCAAGCCAGUGAUGACAUUUUUAGCUACCGUGGCAAAGGUUACACGGUGACUCAGUGGUAAGUUUUUCACACCAGAUCACAUGCUGUUCAUCCCAUGCAACAGGCUGCAACACGCUGGGCAAAAAUUUUGCCCAGCUCAUACCAUGAGACUCAACCAACUGUAGGAGAAACAACUGGAUUUAGAGAAUGUUUUGCAAACAACAUUUACCCAGCAACAGCCUUGAAUUCCAAUCUCCGAGACCUGGAAGACCAGCCUUCAACUGGACACUGCUGUUACCUGAAUAUUUUAAUUUGCUUCCUUUUUCAGUAAAAGCAUCUUAAAUGAUCA